rnacentral:rRNA from 1 species
UACAGAGGUCCCAAGGCGUUGUUCGGAUUCACUGGGCGUAAAGGGUGCGUAGGCGGCGCGGUAAGUCGGGUGUGAAAUCUCGGAGCUUAACUCCGAAACUGCAUUCGAUACUGCCGUGCUUGAGGACUGGAGAGGAGACUGGAAUUUACGGUGUAAGCGGUGAAAUGCGUAGAUAUCGUAAGGAAGACCAGUGGCGAAGGCGGGUCUCUGGACAGUUCCUGACGCUGAGGCACGAAGGUCAGGGGAGCAAACGGG